AGUGGCGAACGGGUGAGUAACGCGUGAGCAACCUGACUCUUAGAGGGGGAUAACACCCGGAAACGAGUGCUAAUACCGCAUAAGACCACGACAUGGCAUCAUGACGAGGUCAAAGGAGCAAUCCGCUGAGAGAGGGGCUCGCGUCCCAUUAGAUAGAUGGCGGGGUAACGGCCCACCAUGUCAGCGAUGGGUAGCCGAGCUGAGAGGCUGAUCGGCCACACUGGAACUGAGACACGGUCCAGACUCCUACGGGAGGCAGCAGUGGGGAAUAUUGGGCAAUGGGCGCAAGCCUGACCCAGCAACGCCGCGUGAGGGAAGAAGGCUUUCGGGUUGUAAACCUCUGUCCUUGGUGACGAAAAAAAUGACGGUAGCCAAGGAGGAAGCCCCGGCUAACUACGUGCCAGCAGCCGCGGUAAUACGUAGGGGGCGAGCGUUGUCCGGAAUUACUGGGCGUAAAGGGUGCGUAGGUGGCCUUUUAAGUUGGAUGUGAAAUACCCGGGCUUAACUUGGGGGGUGCAUCCAAAACUGGAAGGCUAGAGUGCAGGAGAGGAAAGCGGAAUUCCUAGUGUAGCGGUGAAAUGCGUAGAUAUUAGGAGAAACACCAGUGGCGAAGGCGGCUUUCUGGACUGUAACUGACACUGAGGCACGAAAGCGUGGGGAGCAAACAGGAUUAGAUACCCUGGUAGUCCACGCGGUAAACGAUGAAUACUAGGUGUAGG
rnacentral:rRNA from 1 species